rnacentral:rRNA from 1 species
UACGAAGGGGGCUAGCGUUGUUCGGAAUUACUGGGCGUAAAGCGUAUGUAGGCGGAUUGUUAAGUCAGGGGUGAAAUCCUGGAGCUCAACUCCAGAACUGCCUUUGAUACUGGCGAUCUUGAGUCCGGGAGAGGUGAGUGGAACUGCGAGUGUAGAGGUGAAAUUCGUAGAUAUUCGCAAGAACACCAGUGGCGAAGGCGGCUCACUGGCCCGGUACUGACGCUGAGGUGCGAAAGCGUGGGGAGCAAACAGG